rnacentral:rRNA from 1 species
GACGAACGCUGGCGGCGUGCCUAAUACAUGCAAGUAGAACGCUGAAGAGAGGAGCUUGCUCUUCUUGGAUGAGUUGCGAACGGGUGAGUAACGCGUAGGUAACCUGCCUUGUAGCGGGGGAUAACUAUUGGAAACGAUAGCUAAUACCGCAUAACAAUGGGUGACACAUGUCAUUUAUUUGAAAGGGGCAAUUGCUCCACUACAAGAUGGACCUGCGUUGUAUUAGCUAGUAGGUGAGGUAACGGCUCACCUAGGCGACGAUACAUAGCCGACCUGAGAGGGUGAUCGGCCACACUGGGACUGAGACACGGCCCAGACUCCUACGGGAGGCAGCAGUAGGGAAUCUUCGGCAAUGGGGGCAACCCUGACCGAGCAACGCCGCGUGAGUGAAGAAGGUUUUCAGGAUCGUAAAGCUCUGUUGUAAGUCAAGAACGAGUGUGAGAGUGGAAAGUUGCACACUGCAUGACGUGAGUUUACCAGAAGACUCAGU